rnacentral:rRNA from 1 species
UACGUAGGGUGCAAGCGUUGUCCGGAAUUAUUGGGCGUAAAGAGCGCGCAGGCGGCAACUCAAGUCAGAUGUGAAAUAUCCGGGCUUAACCCGGAGGGGUCAUUUGAAACUGAGUAACUAGAGUACAGCAGAGGAUAGCGGAAUUCCCGGUGUAGUGGUGAAAUGCGUAGAUAUCGGGAGGAACACCAGUGGCGAAGGCGGCUAUCUGGGCUGAAACUGACGCUGAGGCGCGAAAGCUAGGGGAGCAAACAGG